rnacentral:misc_RNA from 1 species
GAUGAAGAACGCAGCGAAAUGCGAUAAGUAGUGUGAAUUGCAGAAUUCAGUGAAUCAUCGAAUCUUUGAACGCACAUUGCGCCCCUUGGUAUCCCGAGGGGCAUGCCUGUUCGAGCGUCAUUUCAACCAUCAAGCCCCCGGCUUGUGUUGGGGACCUGCGGCUGCCGCAGGCCCUGAAAAGCAGUGGCGGGCUCGCUGUCACACCGAGCGUAGUAGCAUACAUCUCGCUCUGGGCGUGCUGCGGGUUCCGGCCGUUAAACCACCUUCAUAACCCAAGGUUGACCUCGGAUCAGGUAGGAAGACCCGCUGAACUUAAGCAUAUCAAUAAGCGGAGGA